rnacentral:rRNA from 1 species
AACGAACGCUGGCGGCAUGCCUAACACAUGCAAGUCGAACGAAGGCUUCGGCCUUAGUGGCGCACGGGUGCGUAACGCGUGGGAAUCUGCCCUUUGCUUCGGAAUAACAGUUAGAAAUGACUGCUAAUACCGGAUGAUGUCGCAAGGCCAAAGAUUUAUCGGCAAAGGAUGAGCCCGCGUAGGAUUAGCUAGUUGGUGGGGUAAAGGCCUACCAAGGCGACGAUCCUUAGCUGGUCUGAGAGGAUGAUCAGCCACACUGGGACUGAGACACGGCCCAGACUCCUACGGGAGGCAGCAGUGGGGAAUAUUGGAAAAUGGGCGAAAGCCUGAUCCAGCAAUGCCGCGUGAGUGAUGAAGGCCUUAGGGUUGUAAAGCUCUUUUACCCGGGAUGAUAAUGACAGUACCGGGAGAAUAAGCUCCGGCUAACUCCGUG